CUGUCUUCGUUUACCAUCAGACCAUUCACAAGCCAUCACAAGUAGAUUGCUUGUUCACUGAGAGUUGUCUAUAUUUAUAUGGACCUUGAGUAGUUAAAGCCCAAAACGUGGGUUGGUCCUUUUAUCUCAUAUUCACGUCCUAAGCCCAAAUACAUAUAUUAUCCUACCUCAAAUCCUUUCCAAUAUUCCCAAUACUAUGUGUCCUCUAUUUGUGACUUUCUAUUGAAUUGAUCUUUUUUUUUUCUUUUUUUUGGUAAAAUGUUAAUUGAUCUUCAGAGAUCACGGGAGUUACGACUUUAUAAGCAUUAUCUUCUUUAUGCUUGGAAUCAACACUAAGAAAAUUUUAUUUGAAUAAUACACUAUGUACCAAGAGAAAUUUGAAUCUGAAACACAAUAAAGCAACCCAUUUACUAUUUAGACCACUAACACAAUAAGUAAAUUCGAUUAUGAACUAGUUUUAUAAUAUGUUGUUAAUAUAUAUAGAGGACAAAGGUGUAUUCAACGUGGACGCUUAGUUUUUUUUAAUAUUAUCAAUAAUAAUUAUAUUCGUGAGCUUUCUUUUUUCUCUCUUAAUUCACAUGUUAAUUACUUGCUUGCCGGGUCGCACCUAGUUAUAAGUUUUGAUAGAACAAAAAAAUCAUAUCACCGCAAAGAAAAAUAUAUAAGAGCAUUUCUAUCCACACUCUAUUUUUUUUCUAAAAUGGAGUAGAAGUAAACAUGGAGUAAGAAAUAUUUCAACCCAACUAAAUAUCUUAUUCUAUAAUGAAAUUUACUCUAUAAAUAGAGUAAUCUAUUUUUUUUUUUUUCAUC
rnacentral:lncRNA from 1 species